AAGUCGUAACAAGGUCUCCGUAGGUGAACCUGCGGAGGGAUCAUCUAUAAAUGCGGGUCUUUCCUACCGAGAGGUAGGGAAUGUGCCUAUGCGUAUGUCAGGGUGUUGUUGCUUACAAACAGAGGGGAGGUGUGUGGUGGUCUAGGGCGUGGUAUGCAAGUACUGCGCCUCCACUGUGCGCCUUUCCUCCACACAAUGUUGCAGGAUGGAGUGUGUUGGAUUCGCAGGGAUACCCUCACCGCAUACCAGGGUCUACGAUACACAAAGUUUAUAACUUUUGGCAACGGAUCUCUUGGUUCUC
rnacentral:misc_RNA from 1 species